rnacentral:piRNA from 1 species
AACACUGUGUACAUAACAAAUAAAUAAA